rnacentral:rRNA from 1 species
ACUCAAAUGAAUUGACGGGGACCCGCACAAGCGGUGGAACAUGUGGUUUAAUUCGAGGCAACGCGAAGAACCUUACCAGGCCUUGACAUGCUCUCUAUGGCUUUUUGAAAGAAGAGCCUUCACUUCGGGUGGGAGAUGCACAGGUGCUGCAUGGCUGUCGUCAGCUCGUGUCGUGAGAUGUUGGGUUAAGUCCCGCAACGAGCGCAACCCUCAUCCUCUGUUGCCAACAGGUAAAGCUGGGAACUCUGAGGAAACUGCCGGUGAUAAGCCGGAGGAAGGUGGGGAUGACGUCAAGUCCUCAUGGCCCUUACGGCCUGGGCUACACACGUGUUACAAUGGCGGUGACAGCGCGCAGCUAACUCGCGAGAGUAAGCUAAUCGCAAAAAGCCGUCUCAGUUCGGAUUGUACUCUGCAACUCGAGUACAUGAAGUUGGAAUCGCUAGUAAUCGCGGAUCAGCACGCCGCGGUGAAUACGUUCCCGGGUCUUGUACACACCGCCCGU